UACAGAGGUCCCGAGCGUUGUUCGGAUUCACUGGGCGUAAAGGGUGCGUAGGUGGCAUGGUAAGUUUGGAUGUGAAAGCUCAGGGCUUAACCCUGAAAUGGCAUUGAAUACUACUGUGCUGGAGGUUUGGAGGGGGGACUGGAAUUCUUGGUGUAGCAGUGAAAUGCGUAGAUAUCAAGAGGAACACCAGUGGCGAAGGCGAGUCCCUGGACAACACCUGACACUGAGGCACGAAAGCUAGGGGAGCAAACAGG
rnacentral:rRNA from 1 species